rnacentral:rRNA from 1 species
AUCUGCGGCCAUACCACCCUGAACGCACCCGAUCUUGUCUGAUCUCAGAAGCUAAGCAGGGUCAAACCUGAUUAGUACUCGGAUGGGAGAAAUAAAUGAUGCAAAAU